rnacentral:rRNA from 1 species
GCUCCCCGCUGACGAGCGGCGGACGGGUGAGUAAUGCAUAGGAAACUGCCCAGUAGUGGGGGAUAGCCCGGGGAAACCCGGAUUAAUACCGCAUACGCCCUUUGGGGGAAAGCAGGGGAUCUUCGGACCUUGCGCUAUUGGAUGUGCCUAUGUCGGAUUAGCUAGUUGGUGGGGUAAGAGCCUACCAAGGCGACGAUCCGUAGCUGGUCUGAGAGGAUGAUCAGCCACAUCGGGACUGAGACACGGCCCGAACUCCUACGGGAGGCAGCAGUGGGGAAUAUUGGACAAUGGGGGUAACCCUGAUCCAGCCAUGCCGCGUGUGUGAAGAAGGCUUUCGGGUUGUAAAGCACUUUCAGUGAGGAGGAAAACCUGACGACUAAUACUCGUGAGGCUUGACGUUACUCACAGAAGAAGCACCGGCUAACUCCGUGCCAGCAGCCGCGGUAAUACGGAGGGUGCAAGCGUUAAUCGGAAUUACUGGGCGUAAAGCGCGCGUAGGUGGUUUGAUAAGCGAGAUGUGAAAGCCCCGGGCUCAACCUGGGAACGGCAUUUCGAACUGUCAGGCUAGAGUAUGGUAGAGGAGUGUGGAAUUUCCUGUGUAGCGGUGAAAUGCGUAGAUAUAGGAAGGAACACCAGUGGCGAAGGCGGCA